CCAUGCACCGAAGCUGCGGCAGCGACGCUUAUGCGUUGUUGGGUAGGGGAGCGUUCUGUAAGCCUGUGAAGGUGUACUGUGAGGUAUGCUGGAGGUAUCAGAAGUGCGAAUGCUGACAUAAGUAACGAUAAAGCGGGUGAAAAGCCCGCUCGCCGGAAGACCAAGGGUUCCUGUCCAACGUUAAUCGGGGCAGGGUGAGUCGACCCCUAAGGCGAGGCCGAAAGGCGUAGUCGAUGGGAAACAGGUUAAUAUUCCUGUACUUGGUGUUACUGCGAAGGGGGGACGGAGAAGGCUAUGUUGGCCGGGCGACGGUUGUCCCGGUUUAAGCGUGUAGGCUGGUUUUCCAGGCAAAUCCGGAAAAUCAAGGCUGAGGCGUGAUGACGAGGCACUACGGUGCUGAAGCAACAAAUGCCCUGCUUCCAGGAAAAGCCUCUAAGCAUCAGGUAACAUCAAAUCGUACCCCAAACCGACACAGGUGGUCAGGUAGAGAAUACCAAGGCGCUUGAGAGAACUCGGGUGAAGGAACUAGGCAAAAUGGUGCCGUAACUUCGGGAGAAGGC
rnacentral:rRNA from 1 species